AGGGAAAGGCGAAAAGAACCCCGGCGAGGGGAGUGAAAAAGAACCUGAAACCGUGUACGUACAAGCAGUGGGAGCACAGAGCAAUCUGUGUGACUGCGUACCUUUUGUAUAAUGGGUCAGCGACUUAUAUUCUGUAGCAAGGUUAACCGAAUAGGGGAGCCGAAGGGAAACCGAGUCUUAACUGGGCGUUAAGUUGCAGGGUAUAGACCCGAAACCCGGUGAUCUAGCCAUGGGCAGGUUGAAGGUUGGGUAACACUAACUGGAGGACCGAACCGACUAAUGUUGAAAAAUUAGCGGAUGACUUGUGGCUGGGGGUGAAAGGCCAAUCAAACCGGGAGAUAGCUGGUUCUCCCCGAAAGCUAUUUAGGUAGCGCCUCGUGAAUUCAUCUCCGGGGGUAGAGCACUGUUUCGGCAAGGGGGUCAUCCCGACUUACCAACCCGAUGCAAACUGCGAAUACCGGAGAAUGUUAUCACGGGAGACACACGGCGGGUGCUAACGUCCGUCGUGAAGAGGGAAACAACCCAGACCGCCAGCUAAGGUCCCAAAGUCAUGGUUAAGUGGGAAACGAUGUGGGAAGGCCCAGACAGCCAGGAUGUUGGCUUAGAAGCAGCCAUCAUUUAAAGAAAGCGUAAUAGCUCACUGGUCGAGUCGGCCUGCGCGGAAGAUGUAACGGGGCUAAACCAUGCACCGAAGCUGCGGCAGCGACACUGUGUGUUGUUGGGUAGGGGAGCGU
rnacentral:rRNA from 1 species